rnacentral:rRNA from 1 species
CCUACGGGAGGCAGCAGUGAGGAAUAUUGGUCAAUGGACGAGAGUCUGAACCAGCCAAGUAGCGUGAAGGAUGACUGCCCUAUGGGUUGUAAACUUCUUUUAUAUGGGAAUAAAAUGUUCCACGUGUGGGAUUUUGUAUGUACCAUAUGAAUAAGGAUCGGCUAACUCCGUGCCAGCAGCCGCGGUAAUACGGAGGAUCCGAGCGUUAUCCGGAUUUAUUGGGUUUAAAGGGAGCGUAGGUGGUUUGUUAAGUCAGUUGUGAAAGUUUGCGGCUCAACCGUAAAAUUGCAGUUGAAACUGGCAGUCUUGAGUACAGUAGAGGUGAGCGGAAUUCGUGGUGUAGCGGUGAAAUGCUUAGAUAUCACGAAGAACUCCGAUUGCGAAGGCAGUUCACUGGACUGCAACUGACACUGAGGCUCGAAAGUGUGGGUAUCAAACAGGAUUAGAUACCCGAGUAGUC